rnacentral:rRNA from 1 species
ACACCGGCAGCUCAAGUGGUAGCCGCUUUUAUUGGGCCUAAAGCGUCCGUAGCCGGUCUGAUAAGUCUCUGGUGAAAUCCCACAGCUUAACUGUGGGAAUUGCUGGAGAUACUAUCAUGACUCGAGGUCGGGAGAGGCUGGAGGUACUCCCAGGGUAGGGGUGAAAUCCUGUAAUCCUGGGAGGACCACCUGUGGCGAAGGCGUCCAGCUGGAACGAACCUGACGGUGAGGGACGAAAGCCAGGGGCGCGAACCGGAUUAGAUACCCGGGUAGUCCUGGCCGUAAACGAUGUGGACUUGGUGUUGGGAUGGCUUCGAGCUGCCCCAGUGCCGAAGGGAAGCUGUUAAGUCCACCGCCUGGGAAGUACGGCCGCAAGGCUGAAACUCAAAUGAAUUGACGGGG